rnacentral:rRNA from 1 species
UACGAAGGGGGCUAGCGUUGCUCGGAAUUACUGGGCGUAAAGGGCGCGUAGGCGGAUAGUUUAGUCAGAGGUGAAAGCCCAGGGCUCAACCUUGGAAUUGCCUUUGAUACUGGCUAUCUUGAGUUCGGGAGAGGUGAGUGGAACUCCGAGUGUAGAGGUGAAAUUCGUAGAUAUUCGGAAGAACACCAGUGGCGAAGGCGACUCACUGGCCCGAUACUGACGCUGAGGUGCGAAAGCGUGGGGAGCAAACAGG